CCUACGGGGGGCAGCAGUCGAGAAUCAUUCACAAUGGGGGAAACCCUGAUGGUGCGACGCCGCGUGGGGGAAUGAAGGUCUUCGGAUUGUAAACCCCUGUCAUGUGGGAGCAAAUUAAAAAGAUAGUACCACACGAGGAAGAGACGGCUAACUCUGUGCCAGCAGCCGCGGUAAUACAGAGGUCUCAAGCGUUGUUCGGAAUCACUGGGCGUAAAGCGUGCGUAGGCUGUUUCGUAAGUCGUGUGUGAAAGGCGCGGGCUCAACCCGCGGACGGCACAUGAUACUGCGAGACUAGAGUAAUGGAGGGGGAACCGGAAUUCUCGGUGUAGCAGUGAAAUGCGUAGAUAUAGAGAGGAACACUCGUGGCGAAGGCGGGUUCCUGGACAUUAACUGACGCUGAGGCACGAAGGCCAGGGGAGCGAAAGGGAUUAGAUACCCGUGUAGUC
rnacentral:rRNA from 1 species